rnacentral:rRNA from 1 species
CAUAUCAAUAAAGCCGGAGGA